AUGUCUACACUAGGUAAAGAAACCCUAGUCUAUCCAGUCUCUGCUAGAAGAUUUCUAAUAAGGCGGAUGGGUAGAAUCAACAUAAAUGAAGGAUCACUAAAGGCAAUCCAGAAAUUCAACAGCUGCUUAACUGCUGACUAUAUUACUACAUUCAGGAUGUUCCACUACCAAAGAAGAAGGCAAUCUUGCUUUACAGUCCCACCCAGAGUGCUGACUUCCACUUGAGUUGUAUCCAAUCAUGGUUUUUAUUGUAAAGGAAACCCAUGAAAUUCCAUCCAAGGAGAGCUGCUCUGAGGAUGGAUGGUUAUUCUCCUUGGCAUCACAUUACUGAUUAAAGUAAGCUGGAUUCUCCUGCCUACCUCUCUUACAAAGCUCAGUCAUUUAAGGUAGUUGAAUUCUCUGUUAAAACUUUGCAAGUUGAUUAAUAGUCAAAUUAUAAAGAAUCUUCAUCUGCACCAACUUAAUGCAAUGUUGCAUAUUUUAUUCUGUUUUUCUAUGUCUCUUAACCCCCAAAAGAAAGAGAAAACUUCCAUCUCAACUCUAUUUCUGGGAGAUACAAUCCUAAAUUGAUCCAGUGAUAUCCUUGUUUCUCUUGGCACACCAUUCUAGCUAUUCUGAGUCCUAGUCCUAUGAAGAUAAACUGAUGAUAAGUCUUAAGCUGUCAUAGAGAAGGAAAUCCAUAUACCUAGUUACCAUUUAAUCAUUGUGACAAGAUUUAUUCUGACAUAUUGCCUUUCCAAUUAGGAAAAAAAAUAGGAAAAUGUACUAAGGACCAAUGAAUGAAUAUAUUUUUCCUGACAAACUUUCACUUCAAUCCUUCCUAGUCUAUGAAUGGAGACAAUGACUAAUAAUCUCUUCUGUCCUUUUUGUGGGGGAAAGGGGUAUGGAUGCUUUCAGCUCCUGAAGAGGAACUGUUUUCAUCCUUAAUUGAUUAUGGGGAAAUGAGGCAUUUAAAGAAUUUCAAAUUCAACUCUGUUUUUUUUCCAGUUGCUAAUUUAACCCUGGAAAUGAACUAAGGCUGGAGGAUUCUUGUCCUAAUCUUAGAUAGCCAUAGUCUUCCCUUCUUCAUUGAGUUUCCUUUCCUAAAUGAGACUUCGGUAGAAAUGAUCAUAAAUAUCUUAACUUCUAGGAAUCCAUGGACAUUUGUGUAAGAAGAAGAUCAAUAAGUUCUUAUUUUUUAUUUUUUAGUUGAGGCAUUUUGUCAUAUUUUUCUUAAAUGCUUUAA
rnacentral:lncRNA from 1 species